rnacentral:rRNA from 1 species
UCGGACGGGUGAGUAACGCGUGGGUAACCUGCCUUGUACUGGGGGACGAACAGUUGGAAACGACUGCUAAUACCGCAUAAGCGCACAGCUUCGCAUGAAGCAGUGCGAAAAACUCCGGUGGUACAAGAUGGACCCGCGUCUGAUUAGCUGGUUGGUGAGGUAACGGCCUACCAAGCCGACGAUCAGUAGCCGACCUGAGAGGGUGACCGGCCACAUUGGGACUGAGACACGGCCCAA